rnacentral:rRNA from 1 species
GACGAACGCUGGCGGCGUGCUUAACACAUGCAAGUCGAACGGAAAGGCCCUGCUUUUGUGGGGUGCUCGAGUGGCGAACGGGUGAGUAACACGUGAGUAACCUGCCCUUGACUUUGGGAUAACUUCAGGAAACUGGGGCUAAUACCGGAUAGGAGCUCCUGCUGCAUGGUGGGGGUUGGAAAGUUUCGGCGGUUGGGGAUGGACUCGCGGCUUAUCAGCUUGUUGGUGGGGUAGUGGCUUACCAAGGCUUUGACGGGUAGCCGGGCUGAGAGGGUGACCGGCCAAAUUGGGACUGAAAUACGGCCCAGCCUCCUCCGGGAGGCAGCAGUGGGGUAUAUUGCACAAGGGGCGGAAGCAUGAUGCAGCACCGCAGCGUGCGGGAUGACGGCCUUCGGGUUGUAAACCGCUUUCGCCUGUGACGAAGCGUGAGUGACGGUAAUGGGUAAAGAAGCACCGGCUAACUACGUG